rnacentral:rRNA from 1 species
CCCUCCAGGGGGAGUUUGAUUCUGGCUCAGGACGAACGCUGGCCCUAUUAGGAGACAUGCAAGUCGAACGGAGCUUAGAGAGCUUGCUUUUUAAGCUUAGUGGCGAACGGGUGAGUAACGCGUGAGUAACCUGCCCUAGAGUGGGGGACAACAGUUGGAAACGACUGCUAAUACCGCAUAAGCCCACGGUACCGCAUGGCACUGAGGGAAAAGGAUUUAUUCGCUUUAGGAUGGACUCGCGUCCAAUUAGCUAGUUGGUGAGGUAACGGCCCACCAAGGCGACGAUUGGUAGCCGGACUGAGAGGUUGAACGGCCACAUUGGGACUGAGACACGGCCCAGACUCCUACGGGAGGCAGCUUUGGGGGAUAUUGCACAAUGGGGGAAACCCUGAUGCAGCGACGCCGCGUGGAGGAAGAAGGUUUUCGGAUUGUAAACUCCUGUCGUUAGGGACGAUAAUGACGGUACCUAACAAGAAAGCACCGGCUAACUACGUGCCAGCAGCCGCGGUAAAACGUAGGGUGCAAGCGUUGUCCGGAAUUACUGGGUGUAAAGGGAGCGCAGGCGGGAAGACAAGUUGGAAGUGAAAACCAUGGGCUCAACCCAUGAAUUGCUUUCAAAACUGUUUUUCUUGAGUAGUGCAGAGGUAGAUGGAAUUCCCGGUGUAGCGGUGGAAUGCGUAGAUAUCGGGAGGAACACCAGUGGCGAAGGCGGUCUACUGGGCACCAACUGACGCUGAGGCUCGAAAGCAUGGGUAGCAAACAGGAUUAGAUACCCUGGUAGUCCAUGCCGUAAACGAUGAUUACUAGGUGUUGGGGGAUUGACCCCCUCAGUGCCGCAGUUAACACAAUAAGUAAUCCACCUGGGGAGUACGACCGCAAGGUUGAAACUCAAAGGAAUUGACGGGGGCCCGCACAAGCAGUGGAGUAUGUGGGUUAAUUCGAAGCAACGCGAAGAACCUUACCAGGUCUUGACAUCCGAUGCAUAGCACAGAGGAUGUGUGAAAUCCUUCGGGACAUCGAGACAGGUGGUGCAUGGUUGUCGUCAGCUCGUGUCGUGGAGAUGUGGGGUUAAGUCCCGCAACGAGCGCAACCCUUAAUUGCCAGUUACUACGUUUAAAAGGACUCUGGGCGAAACUGCCGGUUGACAAAAACGGAAGAAAGGGGGGGGAUGAACGUCCAAACAAUCCAGGCCCCUUUAUGACCUGGGCUACACACGUACUACAAUGGCGUUAAACAAAGAGAAGCAAGACCGCGAGGUGGAGCAAAACUCAAAAACAACGUCUCAGUUCAGAUUGCAGGCUGCAACUCGCCUGCAUGAAGUCGGAAUUGCUAGUAAUCGCGGAUCAGCAUGCCGCGGUGAAUACGUUCCCGGGCCUUGUACACACCGCCCGUC